rnacentral:rRNA from 1 species
UACAGAGGUCUCAAGCGUUGUUCGGAUUCAUUGGGCGUAAAGGGUGCGUAGGUGGUGAUGCAAGUCUGGUGUGAAAUCUCGGAGCUCAACUCCGAAAUUGCACCGGAUACUGCGUGACUCGAGGACUGUUGAGGAGAUCGGAAUUCACGGUGUAGCAGUGAAAUGCGUAGAUAUCGUGAGGAAGACCAGUUGCGAAGGCGGAUCUCUGGGCAGUUCCUGACACUGAGGCACGAAGGCCAGGGGAGCAAACGGG